UUUGGGUCCUGUGUCCAGAGAAGGCAAAUCAGUAAUACCUUUUCUGUUCAAACCCAGGAAAAGUUUCUUCAGAGCAUUAAGAUCAUGGGACAGAUAAUGUCAAUCAGCUCCAGAGAAACAGCAUCAGUUUAGCUGAGAAUCUCUAUGCAAGUCUCAACUGAAGGUAAAUACCCCUAAUUUGAGCAACACUGCUUUAUUACAACUGGACACUUGGUAUCGCAUAUUUCUGGACUGAAACACUUCAUGCAUUCCUUCAGCCCAAAUGUGAGUGUUCUUUCUCAAAUCUGCUUUCUAGGAAUAAACAACCCUAUAACAGGCAUUGCUGAGCUGUCUGCAGCAGACAAACACAUAAGAGUUGCAAAUACAGCCAAAGACAGAUAUCAAAAAGAAAUAGUCUCGAAAUGUUUGGCACUGUUUGCUCACCUUUGGAAUAGACAUCCUGUUCCUCCUCUUCAAGUGUUUCACGUUAUUUUUUUUAAUAGAGCUGGGUGAGCUGGUAUUUCUUCUGCUCAAGCUGUCUCUAAACUUGUAUUUCCAACAGUGGCAGCAGAUUAUGAGACGAUACUUAUAGAAAUGACAUUAUAUCAUUCUUUGAAAUACCCAUCCUGCAAGGCAAAAUCUGCAGAAAUUAUAGGACUAAGAGGCCUCCUUUGAGAGGCAGAAACUAUUUUAACUCGUUAUUUUUAGAGCUCUGCAAAUCACAUAUUUUUCUCUUCAUUGGCAAUUCAAAAAAAAAAAUAUUGGAAA